rnacentral:lncRNA from 10 species
GCUUUGUGGCAGGGAAGUGAGCGCGUUGCCUCUGAUGACUUUCAUUUCUCUCAGUUACACUGAGGUGAGGCCAACUGCUCUGUGUGUGGAAGCCAGAGAAGAAAGCAGCACAGAACAGAUGCAAACCAAGGAGGCUGGAAGAUAAGAGCAGAGCCAUCAGGACACGAGCCCCUCGCGGGUAUGAAACAGGAGUCGUGGGAGCAAAUUAGUAGGUGCACUGCAUGGAGGGACGGAAGGGGCAGGGAGGAGCAUCUGAAUGUAAGAUUUCAGAGAAGCUCAUUUUGUCAGCAUUUCAGAGCUUCCUGUGUGCAGCAUGGAUCUAAAGCUGGUGGAUGCAGGGGGGUGAACAAGACAACAUCUUCACUUCCUGCAUGCUGAUGGCAGAAGUGAGACAUCAGCGAAGAAACAUCACGAUCACCAAAUUACGAUGAACACCAUGGAGGAAACAAAGGACACUGUGACACCAAGGAAGGAAGGGAGGUUACUUUUCAUAGUGGCUGUAAAUAGAACUGAAGGCUGAAAAACAGCUGUUAAAAUGGCUUGUUUGUUUGAAGAUGAAUGAGAGUACACAAUAAAAGGAAAAAAAUUUGGACACAGACACACACAGAGGGAUGACCACGUGGAGAUGCAGGGAGAGGAUAGCAGCUACAGGCCAGGGCGAGAGGCCUCAGAGGAAACCAGUCCUGCUGACUCUUUGAACUCGGACUUCCAGCCUCCAGAACUGAACCACUGUCUUCCUUUAUCCCAGGAUGUCUGCAAGGAAGAAAAUGUCCUUUUUCUAGCAUUUAGAGGCCACCAACAUUGAAUAACCACACUGGGGUAGACACAGCGGCGAAGAGAUUCCUGCUGUUCCCAUCACAGCAGCCUUGGAGAUGAGAAGACAGAUGGAUCUGACCAGAGUGAGUCCCAG